rnacentral:rRNA from 1 species
ACGAACGCUGGCGGCGUGCUUAACACAUGCAAGUCGAACGGUGAACUCCGCUUGCGGGGGGUUCAGUGGCGAACGGGUGAGUAACACGUGGGCAACCUGCCCUCAGCUCUGGGAUAACUCCAAGCAAUUGGGGCUAAUACCGGAUAUGACCGCUGACCGCAUGGUCUGGUGGUGGAAAGAUUUAUCGGCUGGGGAUGGGCCCGCGGCCUAUCAGCUUGUUGGUGGGGUAGUGGCCUACCAAGGCGACGACGGGUAGCCGGCCUGAGAGGGUGACCGGCCACGCUGGGACUGAGACACGGCCCAGACUCCUACGGGAGGCAGCAGUGGGGAAUAUUGCGCAAUGGGCGAAAGCCUGACGCAGCGACGCCGCGUGGGGGAUGACGGCCUUCGGGUUGUAAACCUCUUUCAGCAGGGACGAAGCGAAAGUGACGGUACCUGCAGAAGAAGCACCGGCCAACUACGUG